UACAGAGGUGGCAAGCGUUGUUCGGAAUUACUGGGCGUAAAGGGCGCGUAGGUGGCCUUUUGAGUCAGACGUGAAAUCCCCCGGCUUAACCUGGGAACUGCGUCUGAUACUGGAAGGCUUGAGUUCGGGAGAGGGAUGUGGAAUUCCAGGUGUAGCGGUGAAAUGCGUAGAUAUCUGGAGGAACACCGGUGGCGAAGGCGGCAUCCUGGACCAAUACUGACACUGAGGAGCGAAAGCCAGGGGAGCAAACGGG
rnacentral:rRNA from 1 species